AGAAACUCCAAUACAUGAAGAUUAAGCAAAACAACUUAGAUUUAUAGCAAGACAGAUAUCCAAUGUAACAAAAUAAAAAUCCAAAAUUGAAACAGUUGAGGCCUCAUAAUAAUGAAAAACACGGAGAAUCUUCAAAAUCUAAAAGACUUUUAAUUCAGUAUUGGCCAAAUGGCUCGCGUCGAUCCUCUUCUUCCCUAAUAACGUCCAAUUCCCCAAACUCUAAUCAGACCAUCUGUAUAGCCACUGAAAAGUGUGCUUCCAUCAGCACUCCAGCUCAAACUGGUGCAGUAUAUGACCUUGGUUUUGGAAUCGGUAGCAGCAGUUCCGAACAUUUCACUCUCUUGUUUCAGAUCAACUUUAAGAUCAACCACGAUGCUUUUGCUCUCCAAAUCCCAAAUCUUGAUACUAGAUUCAGUAGCAGCACAGAGCCAAUACCUAUUCGGGCUAAAACAGAGGGUGUGGAUAAUGGAGCCAGCAUCAAGAGAGUACAGUUUCUUCCCUUCAGCCAAAUCCCAUAGCAAUAUGACACCAUCUUUCCCUCCGCUAGCACACAACGAACCAUCUGGGGACACGGCCACAGUAUUCACAUACCCGCUGUGACCCGCAAGAGUAGACCUGAGCUUACAGUUGGUGAGAUUCCAGAUUUUGACAGUGCGAUCCCAUGAACCAGACACAAUAGUGGGCUGAAGAUUAUUUGGGCUAAAACGGACACAAGAAACCCAAUCAGAGUGUGAAUCCUGUUCCUGAAUUGUGUACUUGCACUCACCGAGUGUGUUCCAUAGCUUGAUGGUCUUGUCACGGGAAGCAGAGACAAUCUGACGGUUGUCAACAGAGAAUGCAACAGAGAGAACAUCUUUAGUGUGUCCAACGAAACGACGAGCAGUUGUUCCAGCUUGAAGAUCCCAUAAACGGAGCUCACCGUCCCAUGAACCGGAGAGUGCAAACAUGCCGUCAGACGACAACACGACAUCUUCAACGAAAUGGCCAUGUCCGGUAAGACGGCGACGAGGGACACCGUAUUGUGAGCCGUCUUUAGUCAAAGACCAGACGAUGAUGGACUUAUCCCUGG
rnacentral:misc_RNA from 1 species